CUAGUUCGGAUUGUAGGCUGAAACUCGCCUACAUGAAGCUGGAAUUGCUAGUAAUCACAGGUCAGCAUACUGUGGUGAAUACGUUCCCGGGCCUUGUACACACCGCCUGUCACACCAUGAGAGUUGAGAAUACCCGAAGCCCAUGUCAAAGUGGUCGAAGGUAGGCUUGAUGAUUGGGGUGAAGUCGUAACAAGGUACC
rnacentral:rRNA from 1 species